GUAGGUGGCAAGCGUUGUCCGGAAUUAUUGGGCGUAAAGCGCGCGCAGGCGGUUCUUUAAGUCUGAUGUGAAAGCCCACGGCUCAACCGUGGAGGGUCAUUGGAAACUGGAGAACUUGAGUACAGAAGAGGAAAGCGGAAUUCCACGUGUAGCGGUGAAAUGCGUAGAGAUGUGGAGGAACACCAGUGGCGAAGGCGGCUUUCUGGUCUGUAACUGACGCUGAGGCGCGAAAGCGUGGGGAGCAAACAGGGAUUAGAUACCCUGGUAGUCCACGCCGUAAGCGAUGAGUGCUAAGUGUUAGGGGGGUUUUCCGCCCCCCUUAGUGCUGCAGCUAACGCAUUAAGCACUCCGCCUGGGAGUACGGCCGCAAGGCUG
rnacentral:rRNA from 1 species